UACGGAGGGUACAAGCAUUAAUCGGAAUUAUUGGGCGUAAAGGGCGCGUAGGCGGAUAUAUAAGUCAGAUGUGAAAUACCAAAGCUCAACUUUGGUGCUGCCUCUGAAACUAUAAAUCUAGGGGAUUGACGGAGAAAGCGGAAUUCCACGUGUAGCGGUGAAAUGCGUAGAUACGUGGAGGAACACCGGUGGCGAAAGCGGCUUUCUAGUUUGUUCCCGACGCUGAGGCGCGAGAGCAAGGGGAGCAAACAGU
rnacentral:rRNA from 1 species